UCUAGCCUAGUGAGAUUUUUGGAGCCAGGCUGAAUAAAUAAAUAAAUAAGUUUUCCCUUAGGGAUCUUCUUCAUGCCUUCCUAACCUCCGUGCUAUGUGCAUUAAUUAUAUCAAUUACUUUAACUGUUCCAUUACUGAUUGCUGAAACGACUCAUAAGACUCAAAUCGUUUAUAUUCUUGGAGCAGUUUUAUUACAAGCAAAGGAUACAGGACAGCAAUAUCAGGAAAAGAAUAUGUAUGUAAAGUGUCAGGAGAUUUCUUAUCUAAGUUUUUUUGUCCUUCUGUUGCUAGGUCGAACAAGACAUGCUUUGUCUCCAGGUCUCAAACCACCACCACUGUCUGUGCAAAGCAUCUCAUUACCAGGAAGCUCAAAGACUGCUCUAGGUCCAGUUCUUUUAUGCUGAGAUGGUCAUAGAGGCACAUUACAGAACCCACUUCUCACUCCUCAGACCAGAAGGAGAGGACUUCUUUUGGAGCACUUGUUCUGUGUGGCGAAUCUGACUGGUCUUCAGCAAACUCAAUCCUUGCCUCCUUGGAGAAAAUAAUUCAGCUGAGGAGCAUAAAGUAGCGUGAGAGACGGAGGCAAACAGUUUAACAACCACCUGACCAUCAUCACCUGACAUUCCUAGAGGGAAGGGCCCUCUUCUGCCCUGCUCAUGUCUGCCUAAUUAUCCAAGAAAUCUGCUGCUACCAUUUACUUUUCAGUUUUCAGGUAAUUUUCCCAUGCGUUUUGUCUAGCAUUUUAAUGGCAUUCAGUUUAGGGUUGCCAGGUAAAA